UACGUAGGCAGCGAGCGUUGUUCGGAGUUACUGGGCGUAAAGAGUGCGUAGGCGGUGUUCCAAGUCUGUUGUGAAAUCUCCCGGCUCAACUGGGAGGGUGCGGCGGAAACUGGGACGCUGGAGUACGGGAGAGGUAAGCGGAAUUCCUGGUGUAGCGGUGAAAUGCGUAGAUAUCAGGAGGAACACCUGCGGCGAAAGCGGCUCACUGGACCACAACUGACGCUGAGGCGCGAAAGCUAGGGGAGCAAACGGG
rnacentral:rRNA from 1 species